CCGACGGGCCCGGCCGCAAGGCCGGGUCAGUGGCGCAAGGGUGAGUAAGGCGACGGUAACCAGCCCCAUGGUUGGGUAUAGCCGCGGGAAACUGCGGGUAAUCCCCAGCGACGUCCGUGUCAGGCAUCCGACGUGGACCAAAGCUCAGGCGCCGUGGGACGGGCCGUCGUGGUAUUAGGUAGUUGGCGGGGUAACGGCCCACCAAGCCUAUGAUGCCUACCGGGCGUGCGAGCGCGACCCGGCACACUGGGACUGAGACACUGCCCAGACUCCUACGGGAGGCUGCAGUCGAGAAUCUUCGGCAAUGGGCGCAAGCCUGACCGAGCGACGCCGCGUGGAGGAUGAAGGCCUUCGGGUUGUAAACUCCUGUCGAGGGGGAAGAAGGCCGGGUAACCGGCUUGACCGAUCCCUGGAGGAAGCACGGGCUAAGUUCGUGCCAGCAGCCGCGGUAAGACGAACCGUGCGAACGUUAUUCGGAAUCACUGGGCUUAAAGCGCGUGUAGGCGGAUGGGGACGUCGGUUGCUGAAAUCCCCCGGCUCAACCGGGGAACGGGCACCGAAACGCCCCGUCUCGAGGGACGUAGGGGGACCUGGAACUUCCGGUGGAGCGGUGAAAUGCGUUGAGAUCGGAAGGAACGCCCGUGGCGAAAGCGAGGUCCUGG
rnacentral:rRNA from 1 species